GAUGAAUGCUGGCGGCGUGUCUAAGGCAUGCAAGUCGAGCGGAUACUACUGCGAUUACAUCAAGAUAGUAUUAGCGGCAAACGGGAGCGUAACACAUUGGCAAUCUACCUCGCACUCGUGAAUAACUAGCCGAAAGGCUGGCUAAUACACGAUAUUGUCCACAAAUCGGAAAGUAGUGGAUGAAAGUUACGGCGGUGCGAGAGGAGCCUAUGUCCCAUCAGCUAGUUGGCGGUGUAAUGGACCACCAAGGCUAUGACGGGUACCAGGUGUGAGAGCACGACCUGGCUCACUGGGACUGAGACACUGCCCAGACACCUACGGGUGGCUGCAGUCGAGAAUAUUCCGCAAUGCACGAAAGUGUGACGGAGCGACGCCGCGUGUCGAAAGAAGGCCUUGGUCGUAACGACUUUAUCAGGGACGAAUUUAGUACGGUACCGUGAAGAAUAAGGGGUUAGGC
rnacentral:rRNA from 1 species